rnacentral:rRNA from 1 species
GUCUAUAGCUAUACCAACCUGAAUGCAUCCAAUCUCAUCUGGUCUUGGAAGCUAAGCAAGGUCAAGCCUUAGACGGAAGGGAGACUGCCUGGGAAUACCAGGUGCUACUGGCU